rnacentral:rRNA from 1 species
GACGAACGCUGGCGGCGUGCCUAAUACAUGCAAGUUGAGCGCUGAAGGUUGGUACUUGUACCGACUGGAUGAGCAGCGAACGGGUGAGUAACGCGUGGGGAAUCUGCCUUUGAGCGGGGGACAACAUUUGGAAACGAAUGCUAAUACCGCAUAAAAACUUUAAACACAAGUUUUAAGUUUGAAAGAUGCAAUUGCAUCACUCAAAGAUGAUCCCGCGUUGUAUUAGCUAGUUGGUGAGGUAAAGGCUCACCAAGGCGAUGAUACUUAGCCGACCUGAGAGGGUGAUCGGCCACAUUGGGACUGAGACACGGCCCAAACUCCUACGGGAGGCAGCAGUAGGGAAUCUUCGGCAAUGGACGAAAGUCUGACCGAGCAACGCCGCGUGAGGGAAGAAGGUUUUCGGAUCGUAAAACUCUGUUGGUAGAGAAGAACGUUGGUGAGAGUGGAAAGCUCAUCAAGUGACGGUAACUACCCAGAAAGGGACGGCUAACUACGUG